rnacentral:pre_miRNA from 1 species
UUAGUUACUCCUAAGCCAAACUUCUCUAACUGUAACAAUGUUUCUGUAAAAUGUAUUAACAUACACAGAUUCAAAAAAAUGCACUGUCAAAACCUAAUUUCAUGGGGAAUUUAAUGAAACUAAUUUGAUACUGUAAAUGUUCAUGCAUUUUUCUAUAAACUUGGUCGAAGUUAGAGAAUUUUGACUUAGGACAAAGCCAA